UCUAGCUGUAUCUGAUACUUU
rnacentral:piRNA from 1 species